rnacentral:rRNA from 1 species
AUGGCUUCAGCUUCCGCCUCGCUCCUCCCCGCCGCCGACUCCGCCCCCGACGCUGCUGAGCAAGAGCAGCCUCUCGCGCAGGUCAGUCUCUGCUCACUGCUCACUCUAUCUCAAUCCGGCCAGCAAGGAGGUGACCAGAAGGGAGCGGCGAGCAAGAAGAACGACCACGGCCAUAGCCAGCAGCAGCAGCCGAAGCUGGAGUGCCCGCGGUGCAGCUCCACCGACACCAAGUUCUGCUACUACAACAACUACAGCACGGCGCAGCCGCGCCACUACUGCCGCGCCUGCCGCCGCUACUGGACGCACGGCGGCACGCUCCGCAAGGUCCCCGUCGGAGGCGCGUGCCGCCGCCGCUCCGGCAGCGGCAAGCGCCGCAGGUCCUCCGCCGAGCCCCACACGCCCUCCUCCGACUCGCCACCACCGCCGCAGCCGGAACAGCAGGACACGCUUCCCCCGCUCCCGGUCUUCCCGUUCCUCACCGACGGCGGCCCCAUCUUCCUGCCACAGUUCGACCUCGGGCUCGCCGGGUUCCCGUGGACCACGCCGACGGCCACGGACCACCUCUAUGACGGGCUCGGGGCGCCUUGGGGUGGCUGCGACGGCGCGCUCGCCCCCACCGGCGCAUGGGAUGACUUCGGCGGCCUCGAGCUCACCUGGCCUCUGGCGGCCGGAAACUGA